UACAGAGGGUGCGAGCGUUAAUCGGAAUUACUGGGGGUAAAGCGCACGUAGGUGGCGACGUAAGUCGGGUGUGAAAGCCCCGGGCUCAACCUGGGAAUUGCAUUCGAGACUGCAUUGCUGGAGUACGGAAGAGGAAGGCGGAAUUCCCGGUGUAGCGGUGAAAUGCGUAGAUAUCGGGAGGAACAUCAGUGGCGAAGGCGGCCUUCUGGUCCAGUACUGACACUCAAGUGCGAAAGCGUGGGGAGCAAACAGG
rnacentral:rRNA from 1 species